CAGCCAAUCAAACGUUAGAGGGCUGCAGGGGGUGGAGACAAAUAUCUUGGUUUUGCUAAACAUUAUCCAGUAAUUCUAAAUUUAUAACAUUGUAACAGUGUGUGUGGAUAUAUGACGUCAAUAUAUAACUGUCUUUACUGUGAAGCAGGAAGAGGGGGAUAAGAAUGUUGCGCUGGAAUACAUCUGCGGUAGUUCUAUCGUGCACGAGCAUCAGCUGUCUGGUGAGUGUUGGGUUCAGGAGGACACACUGCUGCCAGGAUGCAGGAGCAGAGGAACAUUGUAGAUCAUCAGGCUUUCCUGGAGGAUGGCCUGAGAUCAGAGGUGCUGCUCCAACACCAGCUGCAAGCAAUGAAGGAGGCCCACAAGCAGCAGCUGCAGGAGACAUAGAGGAGACAGAGAGAGGGCCUGGAGAGAAGGAUCCAGCAGAACUCUAUGCUGUCAGCAGGCGUCGACAGGUGGUCUAGUACUCCAGGACCUCUCAACAGGUCAGACAAUCGUAGAGGUCUAUCAAAUCCUCUGCAGCCUGGGCAUCCGUCACAACUGUUACACAGAGAGGAUCACAGCAACUUCAGCAUCAAGGCCAACAGAAACAGAGCAGCACCAACUAAGUAAAGAGGAGAAAGAGGAGGCGGAGUGUCCGAGGAAGUUCCGUGCUGUUCCUGUGCUUGUCCAUGUGUUUUUGCACCUCUAUGAUGAGAUGAUGCAGGUGCGACAGAGGGAGAGGAAGGAAGGCCAUGAACAGAGGAAGGACUUCCUGCUCUCCAUGCAGAUGCCCUUCAGCUUCCUGGAGAGAGAUGAGAAGAAGAGAGAGAAGCUGAUGGAAAUGAUAAGCACGGUGACACAGACUCAAAAACCCAAGGCCACCAAUGUCAGGAAACCAAUACCUAAAGCAAUCAAAGACCCUGUAGUCUCUGAGCAUUUGAAAGAUGAGUUGCCUAAAAAAAAUAUCUCUUGAGAUGUUGCUAAGGUACAGGAAAUGGUGUUAUAAAUGUAUUAUUAUCCUCUCUAAAUCUAGUUUUUUUUCUCACUGAAUUCUGCAUGCUCUGUAGAGGAGCUGCGCAGGGCGAUAUGCAUCCAGCCGAGGGCCCAGGAGAACUUGAGGAAGUCCACAGCACCUAUAGAGAACCAAACUCAUACUGAGAACCCUGAACCUCACAGCUCCCAGCACACUAAGAAGGAGGUCCUGGCCUUCCUGGAUCAGACCACCUCCCAGGUCCCUGACUUUGAUAGGCUGCACAAGGCUUUCCACAGGGAAGCCUUGAGGAGGGCCGAGAGGAAAGAUGUGACCAAGUGUCAGCCCUUCCACCUGCGGACAUCAACCCUGCCCUCAAGAACAAGCAGGAGCAGCUCUGAAAAAGAACAAGAAUCCACAGUCAGUGCCUUUUUGAAGAGAAGCAAUUCCUUUGGUGGUUUAACAUCGCUGUCUACAGAUACGCUUCCCACCUACAUCACAGAUGCAGCAAGGAAACGCUGUAUGGCAAUUAGAAGGUCUGUGGAGCAGAGGGAGAGCACGGAGCAGGAGAGUGCAGAGUUUAUGAGGAAACACAGGAUGAGAUCUCAGGCCAUGAAGAAGACAGUGGCUGUCCGCGCCAA